ACGGGUAUUCUUAGGUGAAUAAUACCAAAACGAGAUGUUAUUGCUUGAGAAUACACGUAA
rnacentral:pre_miRNA from 1 species